rnacentral:rRNA from 1 species
ACCCAGACCGACAGCUAAGGCCCCCAAAUCUAGUCUAAGUGAACACUAGAAAGGAUGUGGCAGGUCAUUGACAACCAGGAGGUUGGCUUAGAAGCAGCCAUCCUUUAAAGAAAGCGUAAUAGCUCACCGGU